GAGUUUGAUCAUGGCUCAGAAUCAACGCUGGCGGCGUGCCUAACACAUGCAAGUCGAACGCGGUUAUUCAGCAAUGGAUAACUGAGUGGCGAACGGGUGAGUAACACGUGGGUGGCCUNCCUUCGAGUGGGGGAAAAAAAAAAGAAAGGGACGCUAAUACCGCAUAACAUCCUGCCUUUGAACAGGCGGUGAUCAAAGCCGGGGAUCGCAAGACCAGACGCUUGAUGAGGGGCUCGCGUCUGAUUAGCUAGUUGGUGAGGUAAUGGCCCACCAAGGCGACGAUCAGUAUCCGGCCUGAGAGGGCGGACGGACACACUGGGACUGAGACACGGCCCAGACUCCUACGGGAGGCAGCAGUGGGGAAUUGUUCACAAUGGGCGCAAGCCUGAUGACGCAACGCCGCGUGGAGGAUGAAGGUCUUCGGAUUGUAAACUCCUGUUGGGCGGGACGAAAAGCUUCGACCUAACACGUCGAAGUCUGACGGUACCGGGUGAGGAAGCCCCGGCUAACUCUGUGCCAGCAGCCGCGGUAAAAGGGCGAA
rnacentral:rRNA from 1 species